rnacentral:misc_RNA from 1 species
CCCGCCGCUUCUCUCUCUCUCUCUCUUCAUGAGUUGAUGAAUGGCAGGUUGGUUUUCAAUUGGAAUUUUGUAAGGUGUUUUUGCAUGUGUAGUGCGGCGGUGGGUGCUGAUAUGGUGGUGGCUCUACCUUGUUGUCUCAUGCUUUUCUUUGGUUGUUUUGCUUUUUGGGGUUCACUAUUACAUUUCUUUCUUUUUGGUUGAUUGCUUGCAAUUAACCACAAAACUACAAAUCUCCAUUGUUAAGCAAAUUUCAAGUGAAAACUUAUAUUGUUCUUAAUUACCUACAACUUUAAUUAAUGGAUUCG